rnacentral:rRNA from 1 species
UGGGAAGGCCCAGACAGCCAGGAUGUUGGCUUAGAAGCAGCCAUCAUUUAAAGAAAGCGUAAUAGCUCACUGGUCGAGUCGGCCUGCGCGGAAGAUGUAACGGGGCUAAACCAUGCACCGAAGCUGCGGCAGCGACACUAUGUGUUGUUGGGUAGGGGAGCGUUCUGUAAGCCUGUGAAGGUGGCCUGUGAGGGUUGCUGGAGGUAUCAGAAGUGCGAAUGCUGACAUAAGUAACGAUAAAGCGGGUGAAAAGCCCGCUCGCCGGAAGACCAAGGGUUCCUGUCCAACGUUAAUCGGGGCAGGGUGAGUCGACCCCUAAGGCGAGGCCGAAAGGCGUAGUCGAUGGGAAACAGGUUAAUAUUCCUGUACUUGGUGUUACUGCGAAGGGGGGACGGAGAAGGCUAUGUUGGCCGGGCGACGGUUGUCCCGGUUUAAGCGUGUAGGCUGGUUUUCCAGGCAAAUCCGGAAAACCAAGGCUGAGGCGUGAUGACGAGGCACUACGGUGCUGAAGCGACAAAUGCCCUGCUUCCAGGAAAAGCCUCUAAGCAUCAGGUAACAUCAAAUCGUACCCCAAACCGACACAGGUGGUCAGGUAGAGAAUACCAAGGCGCUUGAGAGAACUCGGGUGAAGGAACUAGGCAAAAUGGUGCCGUAACUUCGGGAGAAGGCACGCUGAUAUGUAGGUGAAGCGACUUGCUCGUGGAGCUGAAAUCAGUCGAAGAUACCAGCUGGCUGCAACUGUUUAUUAAAAACACAGCACUGUGCAAACACGAAAGUGGACGUAUACGGUGUGACGCCUGCCCGGUGCCGGAAGGUUAAUUGAUGGGGUUAGCGGUAACGCGAAGCUCUUGAUCGAAGCCCCGGUAAACGGCGGCCGUAACUAUAACGGUCCUAAGGUAGCGAAAUUCCUUGUCGGGUAAGUUCCGACCUGCACGAAUGGCGUAAUGAUGGCCAGGCUGUCUCCACCCGAGACUCAGUGAAAUUGAACUCGCUGUGAAGAUGCAGUGUACCCGCGGCAAGACGGAAAGACCCCGUGAACCUUUACUAUAGCUUGACACUGAACAUUGAGCCUUGAUGUGUAGGAUAGGUGGGAGGCUUUGAAGUGUGGACGCCAGUCUGCAUGGAGCCGACCUUGAAAUACCACCCUUUAAUGUUUGAUGUUCUAACGUUGGCCCGUAAUCCGGGUUGCGGACAGUGUCUGGUGGGUAGUUUGACUGGGGCGGUCUCCUCCUAAAGAGUAACGGAGGAGCACGAAGGUUGGCUAAUCCUGGUCGGACAUCAGGAGGUUAGUGCAAUGGCAUAAGCCAGCUUGACUGCGAGCGUGACGGCGCGAGCAGGUGCGAAAGCAGGUCAUAGUGAUCCGGUGGUUCUGAAUGGAAGGGCCAUCGCUCAACGGAUAAAAGGUACUCCGGGGAUAACAGGCUGAUACCGCCCAAGAGUUCAUAUCGACGGCGGUGUUUGGCACCUCGAUGUCGGCUCAUCACAUCCUGGGGCUGAAGUAGGUCCCAAGGGUAUGGCUGUUCGCCAUUUAAAGUGGUACGCGAGCUGGGUUUAGAACGUCGUGAGACAGUUCGGUCCCUAUCUGCCGUGGGCGCUGGAGAACUGAGGGGGGCUGCUCCUAGUACGAGAGGACCGGAGUGGACGCAUCACUGGUGUUCGGGUUGUCAUGCCAAUGGCACUGCCCGGUAGCUAAAUGCGGAAGAGAUAAGUGCUGAAAGCAUCUAAGCACGAAACUUGCCCCGAGAUGAGUUCUCCCUGACUCCUUGAGAGUCCUGAAGGAACGUUGAAGACGACGACGUUGAUAGGCCGGGUGUGUAAGCGCAGCGAUGCGUUGAGCUAACCGGUACUAAUGAACCGUGAGGCUUAACCUUACAACGCCGAAGCUGUU